AAAUGGAAAGGUGAUACUGUGAAUGUCAGACUUCCAAGAAAUUCAUCUUCUAUGUGGUCAUGAUUAACCUGAACUCCUACGUUCUCAAGGCUUUUAACAUAAAGCCAACAGCUAUUUUGAAAUCAUAAUGUCAGAUUUAUAUACCAUAGGGUGCAAGGAUUCUACUGCCUUUCCACUGCACAAAGCAAGGAUUCUGUCUUCUUUAUACUGCACUAAGUCAAGUGAACAUAUUACUGUGGGGUAGAUGCUCUCGCAGAUUUUCUUACCUGGAGACUCUUCAGAGCUACAGUGAACUGAAUAUUUCCUGUUGAUCAAUUUACAUACACAU